UGUUUGGGAAUGCAGCUCAAAUUGGGUGGUAAAUUCCAUCUAAAGCUAAAUAUUGGCGAGAGACCGAUAGCGAACAAGUACCGUGAGGGAAAGAUGAAAAGCACUUUGGAAAGAGAGUUAACAGUACGUGAAAUUGUUGGAAGGGAAACGCUUGAAGUCAGACUUGCUAUUCGGGGCUUGCUCCGAGUUGCAGGCCAGCAUCAGUUUUUCGGGGCGGAAAAUCACGGAUUGAAGGUAGCAGUUUCGGCUGUGUUAUAGCU
rnacentral:rRNA from 1 species